rnacentral:rRNA from 1 species
UUCUGUUCCGGACUGGCCGGGGAGGUCACCGCCCGGUGCCUGCCCGCCAGCCUCCGAACAGGUCUUUCUACUGAGAAAGCCCCGCCGGUUCUACGCCGGGGUGCUCUUUACCGAGUGUCCCGCGCGGCCGGCAGGUUUACCUUGAACAAAUAAGCGUGCUCAAGGCAGGCUACUCUUCAAACUUAUGCCCGAAAGAUAACUGCAUGGAAUAAUGAAAGAUGAUCUCGCUCCCACUUUGUGAUUGGCUUUUUGGGGGAGCGAGAUAAUGAUAAAAAGAGACUGUCGGGGGCAUCCGUACUACGACGCGAGAGGUGAAAUUCUAUGACCGUCGUAGGACGAACAACCGCGAAAGCAUUUGCCAAGAAUGUCUUCAUUGAUCAAGAACGAAAGUUAGAGGAUCGAAGGCGAUCAGAUACCGCCCUAGUUCUAACCCUAAACGAUGCCGACCAGCAAUCCGCCGUCGUUAUUCCCAUGACGUGGCGGGCCGCCCCCGGGAAACCUGAAGUUUUUGGGUUCCGGGGGUAGUAUGGUUGCAAAACUGAAACUUAAAGGAAUUGACGGAAGGGCACCACCAGGAGUGGAGCCUGCGGCUUAAUUUGACUCAACACGGGAAACCUCACCAGGCCCAGACACUAGCAGGAUUGACAGAUUAAGAGCUCUUUCUCGAUUUGGUGGGUGGUGGUGCAUGGCCGUUCUUAGUUGGUGGAGUGAUUUGUCUGGUUAAUUCCGGUAACGAACGAGACUCUGGCCUACUAACUAGUCGACGUGGUCUUAUAUGGCCACGGUCGAAGUUGUCUUCUUA